rnacentral:lncRNA from 1 species
UUGUUCAAUACCUAAAAGCAUAUUUUUCUUUUACGUCUAAAGGAUAAGUAAAGAACAAAUUGACUUUGGCCAGAAAUUACUAGUAUUUAAGUGGUCAACAGUAAAAACAGCACCUUACGUACUGUAUCUAAAUUUUUCCCUUUUAUUAUAUUUCAUGAUAACAAAAGAGGAUUAACUACUUAAGUAGAUUAAAUAAUUAUGGAAAUUGAAAGAGGGGGUGGAUUCUACUGUAAAAUUCUAUGAGUUUAAUGUAUCAUUUACAAUAACAACUACUCCCUCCGUUCCUAUAUAUAAGUCAAUUUUACCUAAUUCUCUUAGAUUAAGAAAAGUAGUUACAAGCAAUAAAUUUGUAAAAGAAUUUAUUCACUUUCCUAUACUACCCUUAUUUAAUUUCUUAUAAAUUUCUCUCUCUAAGUUAUUAUUUCAAAACCUCAUUGUCUCUUUCAUAUUAAAUAUGAGGAUAGUUUUGGAAAAAAAUAAUUAAUGCUCCAUUGAUAUUAUAAAUGGACUUAUAUUUAGGAACAAGAAAAACACUAAAAAAUGAUCUUAUAAUAAGAAACGGAGGGAGUAACAUUUAACCGUAAGAAAAAUCAACAAAGUAAAUGAGGCACAAGCUUGACAAACAUCAAUUUCCUAAAAGAUACACAGAGACCUUCACGCAAAUAUUUAAUAGAGAACAAAGCAGCAGAUGCUAUAAAAAAAAUAUAGAAUAGACACAAAAAAAUGGAGUGAAUAAAGAGAGUGAAAACAUACCUCGGUAGUGCUUAUAAAAAAAGUCCCUAAUCCAAUGGUUAAUACAAUGAUGGAAUGGAAAAGUGCUCUUAUUAUUCUUUGGACGAAUAACAAAGCACAAAAUGGGGGGAAAAGCACAAAAUCAUAUCAGAUUGAAUUUAAAUCACACCGAGAACAAUUUUUACACAUUUUUUCGUUUCCCACCCGAUAUGUGAGAGACUAAUCUUUCACAAUACUUUUAAGCAGCAAAGUGAGAGCCUCUACUAACUGCGUUUCUUUCAUACACAUGGAUCUAGAGAUUGAACUAAGGAUAACAAAAGUUUUCACACAUUGUAAUAACAUAUAUAAACAUGUAUGUAUGUUUUACCUUGUAUCACUUUAAUUGAAGUGACUGAGAUAUCCUUCCUUGGUUGAUGCACUCUGUUUCUCCUUUGUUUGCUCCUCUGCUCUACUCCCUUCACGCAUAUGAUCACUCCCUUGCUCUAGCAAAAACCUACCUUUCACCCAUCAACCCUCCUCUAUUUUAUAAUUAUUCUCUUCCCCUUUAAUUGGGUUGACUGUUCCUGAUUUUUAUUUUCAGUUUUGAUUUAGCUUUCAAUGCAGUACCUGAUAUUUGGAGAUUCUUUCUUUAUUUGAUAAGCUUUGAACUUAUUUUCCUAAUUUUCAGAUGAAACCGUCCUUUUGUACGUUUUGGUUUUUUAGUCUGGAUUGUUCAAACUGGUUUUUAUUUUUUGAUCUUAAUUUUAUUUUAUAAUUUUCAGAUUUUUAUCAUUAUUUUUAAAAUUUCUGGUUUUUAAAAUUAACAAUAAUUUUUAUAUUAUUUCUUUUAAUUAAAAUAACAUAAAAAUAAAUGAACAUCUUGGCUGACCACCUUGUUACUACUCAUCCGAGGCUCUAUAGCGAUCUUUAGUGGAGCUUUUAGGUGGUGGGGUGUUUUGUUCUUGGGCUUUUCUUAGUUUUUUAUGGGUUUUGAGCGGAUGUUCCUUUAUCCCCUUUUUUAUCCUUUUUUUCGGAUCUGAUUGCUGUUUGGGGGCGUCUCUUUUCCGGUGUUUUCUCUUUGUAGGGGCGUUAGUGACGGGGGCUUUAGUUGUUUGCUUCGGUUAUUUUUUAGGCUUUUGGCGUUGGUUGGUUCCUGGCUUUGCCAGUUUUUUGGUCCCUUUGAGGAGGGUUGUACAAUGUACACCUUGUCUAUUUCCUCAUCUUCAUUGAAUAUAUUUCUGCUUUCUAAAAAAAAAAUUAGGUGUUCACAAUAACCUAUUCAUUGAACUCAAAAAAUCAAAAUCAUAGACAGAAAUAUCAAAUGAUAACAAAGGGUUUUAUUUGACAACAUUUAUUUUUCUGUUUUGUGACAAUAACCAUACAAGGUGAAGAAGCAUCAUGCAGUGAAUAAGAAAUAAGCAUCAACUGAAAGGGAUUUGGGCUGAAAUAAAAUACAAGGGUAGAAAAUUAAAUCCGAAUUUCAUCUCUCAUAAGACCACCAGGGUUAAUUUGUCCUCUGUUUAAUUUAUCCAAUUAGCCUUUUCUUGCAACCAAGGUUAACAAGAAAUCCUUGUAGUUUCCUUUAGCUGUCUCUUCAAUUUUCUGGGUCAAAGAAACACCAUAUAGGUUCUGGUACUCUGCCUUUAUCUCCUUCAUAUCAAUGUCAGCUCGAGUAACAACAACACGAGUAAGAUCUUUCUUAGUAUUCUUAUGAACAUCAAUUUUUAAUGCACCAUCCAAAACCUGAGGACAAACAAAUUAUAGACCAUUAUAAAAAAAAGAAAGGGAAAACAGAACCCCAAAUACUUCAGAAGUUUGAUGCUAAUUUAGUAACUUUAUCUUACCUUGCUAAAAUAUAUUUGUGGGGUACAAAGGCAUUGCACAGUUUGUUUAAAUCUUAAGUCACUAAGAUCCUAGAACAACAAAGGGAAAUUUUAGUCAGAAAUAGCAUCAUAUAUCAAAUUAAGCUAGCACAAAAGAACCUAAGCUUGAGGUGCAUUUGUAAUGUCUAUUUUACCUCAUCAAGGUUCUUGCCAGAUAUCUCUUUGUAGUGCUUGUAAAUUGCCUGAAGAUGUAGCUUGCUUCUUGUUGCAAAUAUCCUUAUAGCUUCAUCAUCCUCAAUAAUAGGCUUCUUUUGAGCAUUCUUAAUCGCAUUGGAAAUUGUUUUGGCCUCUGAUUUUGCAGUGUCAUCCUUCACCUUUGAUCCUUCAUAUCUAUAGGCACUCACAAGUGCAACCAAGAGCUGUUUCCAAAAGCAAUAGGUAUUGACUUAGAUAUAGGCCCAGUUUGGAAGAGCUUAUUUGAGCUUAUCUGACAGCAUAAGCUCUUAUGCCAAUGUUUGGGAGAGCUUAUGCAAACAUUAUGCAAUGCACCUAGGUACUAUUUUUAAUCUAACAUUUAUUUAAUUAUCAAAUACACCCUGCAUCUCAUUUCUAAGCCUGGACAUUGUCAAUAAACAAUCAACACAAUUGCUCAAAUGGGCUUGACAUCGCAUAUAUUUAGCAAGGGCUCUGCAAUUGUAAAUUGUAAUUGAUUUUAAAACUACAAUCAAUUAUGGGAAGAAGCUUCUGGGAGUAGCUUUUUUAUGGCAGAAUUGAUUCUGAAAAAAAAUAAGCUGAUCCAAACAUACUAUAAUUCAAGCACCUUUCGUUCGAUGCCGUGGAUGUGAGAGGCAACAUCUUCCUCAAUGGAGUGAUCAAAGAGGGAAUGGUAGGCCUUCCUUGCUCCCAAAAGCUCUUCUGAUGAUCUUGUGCAUGCAAGCUCAAUCAGCACUCCAUAUGCAUUUGGGCCUUUCUUAAGUGCUUCUGUCACUAAACGUGCAUCUCUUUCCCAAGGAUGCAUGGUCCAAAGUACCACAGCAUUCUGAUUACAUUAAUCACACAAGGGACCACAAAUCAGAUAUUGAACUUAUUUCAACAACAAAAAAAAGAGUUUUUUUAUUACUUGAAUCUUAUCUGAAGAGUAUUAUUAUAGUCUUGUGAUAAUUGCGAUAAGAACGAGUAUUUUUUAAAUUUUUCUCGCAAUUUCAAGCCGGAUAUGACUAUUAUAAGCGGCCAAGCUCCUACUAAGUAUUUAACUCAACUUAAAAAAUAAUAAAAAUUGAGUCUAUUCCUUCCUUGAGUUCCAUGGUAUUACUCUACUUAAACUGUUGGAAAAAAGAACCAUUGCUAUUGAAAUACUUUCCACCCAAAUCAUUGUGUGUUAUUUAAUUUUUGCUUCACCAAUAAAAUUUUAUUUAUGAAACCGGAAAUUAAAAUAUAAUUUGGGAAAUAUAAGACUUUUAUCCUUUUCUCAAACAAAAUGCUACAUUUAUCUUAUGAAAAGCGUGAAUAACAUCUUAUGGCAAUAUGUCUUUGAGUACUCUUUUUUCUUCUCUAGGAUUUUUCCCACUAGGUUUUUUUUCUAUGAAAGUUUUAAUGAGGCUCAAACAUAAGUUUUGUUUCACGCACUAAAAUGUACAUUGCAUUAUCAUGGCUACAUAUGUUGUUGUUGUAUUGAUUUAGUCCUUAUUUUCAUGAUAGGGGUGUUCUCAUGAAUUGCUUUCUUCUAAUAAUAAUAUAAUUCAUUUUGUUUUAAAAAAAACAUCUUGUGGCAAUAAGUUUAUAGGAUAAUAGCUGCUCUUAUCAAUUUGUUCUCCUGGAGAAGGGUUGACAUCACUAUAAUAUUUGUUUAUUCUAAAAAAUUCUAUUACCACAUGUACAAAUUGAAUAUUCCACAAAAGAAAAUUAUUUACAAAAUUUACAAUAUUAAUUAUUUAACAUUCUUUAUAUGCUCAUGUUUUCAAUUGAUUAUAACAAGGAUUUAACUUUGACUUUUUUACAAAAAAAAACAGAGUAAUUGAAAAUGAAUAUCCCCAAAUUCAACUGAUUGUGCAGUGAAAAAAAGCCGUUUUUAACAUGGGAAAAGACAUAGUAACAUAAAGUUUAAACAUAGAAUAAACUGAAAAAAAAUAACAUUGUCUACCUUGAAACGCACGAACUCAUGCUUGAGAAGACGAACAGAGUGAUCAUCCCAUCUCUGAAAAUUUCGUUCAUGAUCCUCAGUGAAGAAUGGUGGUGUGUUCUUCCUGAAUGUUUCUCUCUCUUGAUGAUCCCAUUUUCCCAGCAAUGUUACUAGUGAUUUCUCAUCCACCCCAUGUCCUGAAAUCACAUCAAAUCAUCAAUCAAUAAUAAAAAAGAAAAUAUAAAUUCAUGGUACAAGUUGAACUAGAAAGUGUGGAAAUGGAACAAAUUAGAGAACCUGAGAAAGCUUCGGUGACAGCUUGUAGCUCUUGAUUGAGUGCCAUAUUUCUGAAUGUUUGAUAAUUAAGUUGAGAAAAUGAGAUGAGUGAGGGACAGAUAUGUUCAUAGCUAUUCAUUUAUAAGACCCUACAAGGCUAUUUUCGUCAUUUGGAAAUGUAAUGUGAAAAAACAGAGGAAGCUUGCUCUAAUGUUACCACUUUUGACCAAUGAAGUAUGAACACGUGAAAUAUUAAAUAUGCAAGUUACAAUGUAUUAAUAUAUCAUGGACUUGAAAUGACACAUUUGUCCCUUAUGACCUCGUAUCAUUUUAAUCUCGUGGUUCUGUUCUAGUUAGGGUUAAAUGCAUUUUUAGUCCCUUACUUUUAGAUUUAGGUGAUUUUAGUCUCCUACUUUCAAUUGCUCAAUUUUAAACCCUGUAUUUUUGUAAUGUUGCAAUCAAAUCCCUCCCCUUACGUUUAAUUGUUUAAUUGUUCAAUUUUAGUCCCCUUGCUUUUAGAUUUGGGUGAUUUUAAUCCUCUUACUUUCAAUCAUUCAAUUUUAAACCUUGUUUUCUUCUAAUGUUGCAAUCAAAUUCUUCCAUUAAAAAUGUCAUCCAAUUUUAAGUCAAUUUUGAAUCCAUGUGGCAAGUGAUGUGUUAUAUGAUUGAAAGUAAUUCUAAGUUAAGAGUUUUGAUUUUCUAGGUCACGAAUUAUAGUGUUUUUCAAUUUCAUUGAAAGAUGAUCAUUAGUUAAUUUCAUUCCUAAUGCAGCAAAAACCGAAGAUCAUUAAAAGAUUUGGACACCAUAUUUUUACCCAAAAUCUUGAAGUAUUGAGUUUAUGAGUCACAUCUCUUAUAAAGUCUACACCUCACUCAUUUGUAACCAAUGUGAGACUCCAACUCAAACUUGAAUUCUCAACAUUUUAAAGUCAUGAAAUUUUCGUUAGUCAAUAAGUGUAACUAAGAGUAAGUGGACUAGAAUUGAGCAAAUGAAAAUAAGGGGAUUAAAACCACUCAAAACUAAGAGAAAAAGUUUGAUGCACCGACGGUGUAAAAAAACUUUACACCGUCGGUGCAUCAAAAUUAAACUCCAAAACUAAACAUAAAGGGGACUAAAAUUGAGCAAUGCAAAGUACGGAAACAAAAUUCACCCAAAUUAAAAGUAAGGGGACUAAAAGUGCAUUAAAGCCUUCUAGUUCUGUUUUUUUUUAAAGAAGGCUUCUAGUUAAUAUUAGUAAAUAGCACUUUUUUAACAGAAAAUUAUAAUAAUGUCAAGUUUGUAUAUUGAUUACCAGGGGUAUUCGUGUUUCAAGGGUAUGCUUUCUAAUAAAAUCCACCUUCAUAUAACAAUAAUGCACACAAAUGAACUUGAAGAAAAUUCAACUGAAAUUGUAGUUAUAUUGUUAAACUAACAGCAAAAUAUUAAAGGCAAAAACUAGAAACUUCGGUUAUACAGGCUACUCAGAAAAUGACAUUUUAGAGAGAGAGAGAGAGAAUUCAUUAAUCAUUUCAUGAUAAGUUUUGAAAAGUGUGUUGAAGUUGCAUCCAUACCCCUUCAAAUAAAAGAAUAUAACAAACUUCCCUUGCAAUUUGAAUUUCCUUUUUAUUUUUAUAUUAUUACUAGAAAAAGACAUUCAUAUUUUAAUAUAUACCAUAUGGAAAUUAAUUAAGAUUGUGCUAAAAAUACUAGAUUCUACAGAUCAUACUUAUUUGUAUAUAUGCUUUUCUUCAGGAGUGUAAAACCAAUUGUCUAUGGUGGUUUAAUAUAAGUUUGCUUUGUUUUUGUUAAAAGGAGUGGAAAAAGGUAGCUAGCUGGAUAGUCUGGCUCGGGUUUAGCUUUUACUUUUGAUUUUUCAUGAUAAAGAGUGGUAAAGAGAAGCACCUUCUGGAAUCUCUCUUUUGUUAAACCAUGCAUGCAUGUUGUACAAGCUCUGUUUUGCUUUGCUCUAAUAAUUGAUACCCAGAUUGCUUUUUAAAGAAACUACAGAUCACACUCUCAUAUAAAAUAUCUCAUGCAACUUAUGCUCAUUAAAAAACACAUCAACCCUUCAUUUAUCUAUAUUGUCUGAUUUGUCUCCCUUCAAAGAUAUGUUCAUGUGACAUCCUGCAGGCUGGCUGUCAGCGUUUACCAUUAAUAAUUGAAUAAUUAGUAGUACAAAGUAGGUUAUUCUAUGACAGGUAAGGUAUUAAUAUAUGCAACCAUGAAAAACGUGCAUGGUUUCCAAACAUGAUUUGACUCGUACAAAAUAAACAAAAAACAUAUAUGUGUGAACUAGAAGUAUACCAAAAUUCGAGUACUAUUCAUAAGAGGUCUUUUUUUUCUCCAUGUUUUGAGGGCCCAUUUACUUCAAUGGUCAAUUAAUUUAUUCUACUUGGUUCAAGACUUCAAUUCAUAUUUUUUUCUCAAUAUAAUUCACUAUAUAUAUAGAUGUUAAUAAUUUAUGCAUUCAUAUCUUAAAUAAUAAACUUUUUAUUUAUUUUUAAAGAAUAACAUAUGAUUAAAUAACAUAAUACUUAACAUCUUAGGGACAAUACUCCCCUAGGUAAGUAUCAAUGUUUACGAUAAGAUUUAUGGUAAAUCACGUCCUUCCUCAACCAAAACCAUAACAAAAACUCUAAAUAAAGAACUCAAAUCAAUGGAACACAUUCCAACCCAAGUUGUUAAAAUUACUUUAAUACUAAUUACUAAACAAUUUAAUACACAAAAAAAAACUCUAAAUACUAUUUAAUCAAAUAUCUGAACACAAUUAUUUUUUAUUAUAUAUAUUUAUAAUGAAAUAUUUUAAUAUUUAUUUAUUUUAUUCCACUAUAAUAAUUUUUAUACAAUAUUAAAAAUAUUGUAAAUAUAUCCGUGCGUUAUAUCUAGUAUGAGUUGUAUUUCCACCUUUAGUACUGGCAAUCGACUACCUCCCUUUUAAACUAAAUGUCUCUACAUGUUCGGAUUUGUAGUUGUGUCUCUCAAUAAAUAACUUUCUUCCUAGUCGAACUUAUGUUUUCAUCCUUAGGCAAGACUCAAGAGCUUUAGAUGCUUAGCACUAGUAGACUAAUACAUUAAUAGUUGUGUUACUAACUAUAUCUACUAAUAAUUUAAAUAAAAAAUAUAAGAAUGCGACAUGCACAAACAUCUAUUUUUAAAAAAAUCUGAUUAAUUUUUAAAACAUUAAACUUAAUUCAAAAAAAUUGUUGGUUGAAAUAUCGUGCAAGUUAAUAGAAGCUACAGCUAAUAGAAGAUUAAUUAUGUUUAUACAGCUAAGGUCGCAAAUCUUAAAGGAUAAUAGAAAAAUAAAAAACUCAGGGAUGUGAUCACGAGGCUGGGAUUAAGUGUUAUAUAAUAGCAGCAGAGAGCCAGAGAGAUUUACGUGAUAAGGAUAGUUUAGCCAAAUUAAGAACUAUAAUAAUUAUACAAGGAUAAAGUAUUUUGAGAGGUUGACAAAAAAAUGAAAAAUAAAUAAGUAAACUUUUUUUUUUGAAAUGAAUAAGUAAACUUAUUUUGAAGUAACGUAAAUCAUAAAACAAAUUGAGCAGUUUUCAGAAAUAGACAUUUGAAAACUUCUUGGGGUGCAAAAAGAAAUAUAACUUCUUGGGGUGCAAAAAGAAAUAUGUCAAAGUUUCAGGGUGCUUCCCUGCAGUUCAACUGAACAAACAUGCACAACUGAAAUUACACAAAACACAAAGGACUUCAUUCAUAAAUAUAAGGAUUAAUGAGUCUCCUAAUUUGAAACAAAUCAGGGGCAAAAUAGUAAAAAGCAUGUUCCUUGUUUUAGCGAAAUCGUUGGAUCCUAUAUUUCAUUUUGAGGAGGGAAAGACAAGAACAGCUGAAACAUACAAAACAUGUGUGAACUGUUUCUAUAGCAUUAGAUUCUUGUCUCUGAAAAUUCAUUCUGAGAAAUGGCUUCAUUGAAACUGCCUCAGGUUGUUCCUUCUCCUACACAAGAUAGUGAACGAAUUCGAAAGGCUUUCCAAGGUUUCUCUCUCAUUCUCUCUCUAACAAUUUUAGGGACAUUUAUUAAUGCUGAAGAAUGUUUAAAAAACUGAACUUUGAUAUGAUUUAAGUCAUUACUGAAAUUGGGCAGGGAAUUUUAUGUUAAUGGGAUUUUUUUUACAAACAUUAGUUUGUGAUUUGCAUGCUGGCAAUUCUCUUAGCUGCUCUGGUUUUAUCCUUCCCAUGGAAAGUAAUAGGAGAGGGUAAAUACUUUGAUUUCAUAAAAGGUUUUUCUUUAAGGGAUUUUGUUCAUGGGGCAUUGGAGAUAUUGCCCUUUAUGCUUUUGCCUUUAAAUUUUAGUCUUUUAUUUUUAUCUUCUUGGCUUAAUUAUUGUAAGUUGUGCAUGAGUUUGGCUUUAGAUGAUUGUUGUUGAUGAUGCUUUUGGGGAAAUGGGUAUAGGGUUUGGGACAGAUGAGAAGGAGAUAAUCUUGGUGUUAGGACACAGGAAUGCCCAACAAAGGAAGGAAAUCAGAGAAACUUAUCAGCAGCUUUACAAUGAAUCACUCAUUGAUAGUCUCAAGUCUGAACUUUCUGGUGAUUUCAGAGUAUGUUAUGCUUGUUUUCCUUGACUUGGCUUUCUCUUCUUUUUCUAUUUUUAUUUUUUAAGAAACAAUUCUUCAAGGUUGUAUUUUAUUGGCAUUUGAUAGAUAACAACUGAAAUAAUGUCAGUUUUAGCACUGAUUGAUUGUGCUGAUUAGAAAUUGUAGGUUUUUUUUUUUUUUAAAUAUGAACUGGUCAAUUAUGCUUAGCUACAAGCUAAUUUUAUUCAUGAGUUUCUCAAAAUUUAUCCAACAGCUGUAGCAUGUUAUUUUAAGCUUUCUCUGCCCUCUCUCUUUGUAUCACACAAAAUGAGGUAACAUGUUUGUAUAGUGUAGUUAGUAAACCAGAUUUGGUCAAACUUAUUCUUCCUAAUUAUUGGACUACUCUGAGCUUGCUUGUCAAGGAAAUUAAACAAAAAAAGGGGUAAUCCUACCAUAAAGCCAUUUUGACUGGAGUUUCUUUUCUUUCUUUUCUCANGGAACCUUACACAUAUACUCCUCUUGUAAAGGUUCUAAAAAUGCGAGAUCAUGGAAGAUAAAUCGGCAAUUAAAACCAUGUUCAUCUAUUAAGUAUUUUUUUAGUGGCAAUGAUAUAUGCUUGUGAGUCAAUGAAGAUUCAUGUGAUAAAAUUGUGAUUUAGAUGCUUAUUAAUAUGCCAUUUCCAGUUAAAUCUCAAGGAAAUAUGACUGUCAAUAAUACAACUAAACAGUCAAAAGAUAUUAGACUAUUAUAGGUUUGGUCCUAACUAUUUUAUAGGUUUUUGUUACAUUAUUUCUUCUAUCCACAAAAGAUAUUGGAUUGAAUUUCAAUCUGACUUUGAAAGCAUAUCAUUUUUUCUGAAGUAAUAUUCAUGUGAUUUACUGUACAAUACCGCGACUCAGACUUGUGAUAUGUAACAGAAUGCUGUAAUUCUCUGGACUUAUGAUCCAGCAGAAAGGCAUGCAAUACUAGCAAAGGAUGCAUUGAAGGCUAAGAAGAUAGGGAUUAAACAGUUACAGGUUCUAGUUGAAAUAGCAUGCACAUCAACUCCUAAUCAUUUAAUUGCUGUGAGGCAGAAUUACUGCAAUCUUUUUGAUAGCUCACUUGAAGAGGACAUUAUAGCCUCAGUUUCUCAGCCCCUCAAAAAGGUAAGAACAUGGAGUUUCUUAGUCAUACUGAACAGAACAAGUAGCCAAGUUUGGGUUCAACUGUCCAUCCCGUAAGAAGCAGUUAUUUGACAUGUAAAUGUGUCUCAAUGGCUCCAAAAUUCAGUGUUCUAUGAUUUAAGGGUCAAGUUUUCUUGUAUUUAACUCCAUUUAAAUAGACAAUUUAAAAAAUCAUAUUGCAUAAUAACACUACACAAAGUCAAACAAAAGACCAAUAAACGUAUUCUAUAAGAGUUUGGUCAAUUUAUUAUUGAAUGCUGUUUCUUAAAAAGUGUAUUUUGCUUCACUCAUCCAAUGUUCUUCAAGAAUCAUAUUUUGAAAUAUGUGAGGACAUGAAGGAAAAAUGAAAAAAAUGAUGAUGGAGAUUAGGAAGAAGAAAGAAUAUGGAUGAAGUUUCAAAAUUCAACAUCUAUAUGGUUGACACUGUAGCUUUCUGUGUGGGAUAUAUGCCCGAUUCAACUUUGCUUGAACCUGAAAAUUAAGGCUCUAAUUGACAAUUCAGAAUUACAGCUACUCUAUUUAUUUCAGCGUGUACUGUUGCAAUCACGAUUCACUCUCACAUUUAACAUCCAAUUUUCUUAUAUGCUUUCCACUUCAAACACAUGAUAUGGAUUAUUGUGCAGCUCUUAGUGAGCUUAGUAAGCUCUUACAGGUAUGAUAAAGUAGCUGUAAACUUGGAGGUUGCCAAGUCAGAGGCAUCAAGACUACAAGAAGCCAUCAACAGUAAGCAAUUAGAUGAUGAUCACAUUGUUUGGAUACUUAGCACCAGGAAUCUUUUCCAGCUCCGGGAAACUUUUGCAUGCUACAAGCAACUCUAUGGCAAUACCUUGGAAGAGGUUUAACUUAAAUUUUGGUUCUUAAGUAAGAUUUUAAUUUUGAUCCACUAACAUUGUAAAAUUUUACACUACAGGGCAUAAAAAGUUGUGGGAAGGGUGACUUGGAGUCUCUCUUACAUUUGGUAGUACAUUGCAUUGACUUCCCCGAGAAACAUUUUGCAAAGGUGUUACUAAUUUUCUUCUACUCAAGGCAGGGUGUGACUUAUAAAAUGAAUGCAUUAUUUUGUAAAAAACUUAAAUGAUGUUGCCUUAUACCUGUUCGGAUGCAAACCAAAGAGUAUUUAUUGGAGCUUAUUUAGUGCUUUUUCUAAUAGAUAAGGUCCAAUAAGCCUGUAUCCAGACAGGCUCUAAAAUUAUGCUAAGCUGUCAAUCCAUUUGAAUGUCUUGAUCAAUUUUCCAGACAUUAAAAUCUGCUUUUCCAGAACUGUGCUUGUUAAGGAAAUACAGGAAGCUGCCUAUCUUUUGCCGUUCCGCCCUUUUUCCACCAUUGUCUGAUUUUCAAAGCCCAAGUUUAUCAAUACUUAGAAGUUAGAACAGUACUUGCCAUAUAAUCAAUAAAUAAUCUCUAAAACUUAGACUUUUUAUGCAUUGUAAUUGCAUAGGUUACUCAUAGCAUGCAUUACAAUUUGAUUUUCUCUUCAAUCUACAAGGAAGUUAUCCUUUGGAAUGGUAGUUUACUAAGACUUGUAUUAUUGCAUUGCACCAUAAUAUGAGUUCUAAUGAUAAAUACAUUAAAAUGGUUCUUCAUUACAAUGUUUUACAUUAAAGUGGUAAUUUUUGGAGACAAAUUUUCUGUACUUUGUCUUGGAGUACCAAGUUGUAGACACUUUAUCUUUAUAAGAUGAAAAUAGGUAUUUCUUUCAAGCUACAUCAAGACUAUAUGAAGUGUACAAUUUUUUUUGAAAAUAAUGAAAAUGCAGCAAUUUAUUUCAUUCUUAUUUCUCUUGACUUUUAUCCGCCUUCAGGUUGUAAGAGAUUCUAUUGUUGGGUUUGGAACUGAUGAAGACUCCCUGAACAGAGCUAUUGUAACUCGAGCUGAAAUCGACCUGUUGAAUGUCAGAUUUGAGUAUGCUAACAUGUACAAGUGCAGUCUUGAUGACGAUGUCGAUGGGGAUACCUCAGGGGACUACCGAGAGUUUUUGCGGACUUUGCUAGGGAACGGUCCGAAGGGAGACUGAUACAUCAUAGGAAGGAGUACCACUCAUGGUGUUCUGGUGUUGCUUGUAAUCUGCAUUUGAUGGUCUGCAUUCUGUAUUAUAUGUUGCACCGACUUUGCAAAAUGAAUCACAAUUGACGAUUGAAACUAAACCAAUCAUAUAUAUGUUUGUUAUUCUGCAAUGAUUUUGUGUAAAUUUAUGUCUUCUCCAAAAAACUGAAAGAACGUGGUGUAUAAAUAACAAGGUAUUGGUGGUGUAAAUUAUAUAGAAGUUGUUAUCAUGGAUUCAGUGAUUUGUAUCAUUCAAACAAUGUGCAUACCAGGCACCAUGAAACUUCCUGUGAGUUGUGAUGUUUUUUCUGUUGAUCAAUGGACAAAAAGUUAUUAGUGUUUUUUUUCUUUUUUGAUCUGUUUAGAGUAUGCAUUAAUGAUUAGCAUUAUUCUUAAGCAUUAAUACUCCUACUAGAUACAAAAAGUGUCUAAGAAUAUACACAUUGCACUACAUAUUUGUUUUUAACCAAGCUAGAUAUUCAUCACUUGCUUGAUUUGAUUCACACAGCUUGCAAAAUCCUCUUUGAGCGAAUUUAAGAUGUUAAACAACAAACUGAAGAGUUUGGAUUGAUUAUGAAUGCCAUCCAGGAGCUGAGUGGACUAACACAUUGGUGAAAUACUAAAGUCAUUCAAGAUGGUUGAUCUGAAGCCAACUACACAAGCAUGAUUUUAUGUGAAUGUCUAUUCCACUACAACCUAUGCAAGACAUUAGCGAUCUGACCUUGGAGUGGUCAAAGUUCCUCUAUUCGUUGGUUGUAGGGAACUAGGGAUGGAAUUUGAUGUUGAUGCAGUUGUAGCUGCCAAUAUUGAAUACAUGGCAUAACAUGAUUAUGCAUCCUCGGUUACUACUAUACUUUGCCAAGGACAAGGAGUUAGUGUGGAUGAGUUAGAGUUAUCAUAUAAACCCUCAAUUAGUUAGAGCUAUCAUAUAAAUCAUCACCGACAAUUGAUCGGGGAACGAUGAAUCACUUCUGUUCUGGUCGGUCCAAACGACCACUUAACUUAUGAUCGGGCCAGUUUGACCCAAAUGACUACACGACUAGGCCAACAUUGCCGCAGGAACUAUCGACAAGAGAACAUUAUGGUACUCUAAUAUACACUGCAAUACAACAUUUUUAACUUUCUAUACCAAAAUUGUCAUAGGAACUAUUGGCAAGAGACUUCUUGUAAAUCAAAUAAGUUGUUGGAUACAGAUGAUUGAUAGACCAAUCAUCGUUGGGCCUUUCCCUACCUUGUGAGGAUACAUCUAGGCCCAAAAGGGAGACUAAGAAACCCACUAAGUAUCAGGAUUGUACGUACACCUUUCUCAUUUUUCAUCUUCAUUUUCACCUAAUGUUUCUCUUCAUGUGUAUCUUCAUUUCUCAUCACCUGAUGACAUAUGUCCUUUUUAUUUUCUCUUUCAAUAUUCCUAUCCAUAUGCACCCUCCUUCAAAGUGGAAUGUAUGUAUACCACACAGGGUUUGCCAAUAAUAUUUAUCUCCCAUUAGAGUCACCCAUUGGUGUCGAGACAGAUGACACGUCUCUUUCUUCCCAGCUCUCAUAUGAAAGGCUGGCAUUCUCAUCGCUGCACAUGACUCCCUACUAUAUUUAGCUUUUAGGUACGUACUUUUAAUACCAAACCCCAAAAGAUCAAUACCCUCUCAGUUUCUAUCUCUCACUUCAUUUGGUUGUGAAAUUCUUGCUGUUCCUUCUAACUACUUUUUCACGUACAAGUUGAAACCAGACACAGGUUUUGUACCAAACACUCAAACAGAACGUAUGCAUUGUUGUGUACUGAAUAAAUAUAGCAGUUUUUUCUACAUUAAUACUCGAGAGAUGUUACUGCAAGGAAUGUAGUGUGAAAAAACAUAUAUUCGCACCUCAAUUACACACUAACACCUAUAAUAUAUAGGAAGAGAAAAUAUACAAAUGAGAUAUGUGACAAGUGACCUGUGUUGCACGGGUACGGGUACGGUAUUGGGUACGCGGUACGCGAUUUUUGAAAAAAUAGGGGUACGGGUACGUUAGAUAUAUAUAUAUUUUUUUAUACAUAAUAUUUAAAUAUAAAUAAAUUAUGCAAAAAAAAAGGAAGAGUGCAGGGUAGAGUUGCUUAAAAGAAGGAAGAGUAAUUUCCAUCAUUAUAUCCAAAUACCAAUAGAGAUGAACAUAAACAAGCCAAACAAUACCCUGAAAGCAAUAAUUAGAUAUAAAUGAGACACAACAAAACAAAGAGAGUGCGAAUCAAAUUUAUAACAUUUCAAGUCACUGGACCAUGUACAGCGGUAAGUUUGAAACAAAUCCAGCACAAACAUAUUUAUAAGCACACUUUUAGGCUAUAGUCUAAGCACACUCUUAAAAAACAGUAAUAGACAUUAGACAGUAAGAACAAAGGGAAACAGGGUCUGGUCAAUGGUCAUGAAGAUGCAACAAUCGUUUCCAACGUACCUGCGGUGGCGUGGUGGCCGGCGGCAGAGAAGAGCACGGCGGAGGAGAGUACCUGCGGUGGCGUGGGUUUCCUCCUUCUAUUGUGUUUCUUGUGUUCUUCUGCUGCCCUUCCUUCUUUUCACGUGAUUUAGGGUUCUGUUUCUAUUUUUUUUUAAGGCCAAAACGAUGUCGUUUUGAGCCAGAUUUUUUUUUUUUUGUAACGGGUACGUACCGUAUGCGUACCAAGUGACGUAAUAGAAAAACAAAUUAAGAACUAGAAUGAGUGAGUGAAAAUGAAAUUAAGAAAAAUUUAAGUGUAAAUGAAACAAAAUCCAAAUGUCGUGUGAGAGUACUAAUGUUGCAAAAACACAAAUAUAUUAAAUGGAAAUGAUGAACUGUAAGGCAUAUGCUUUGCAUCGACCACCUUUUGACACAGUCUAUGACAAUUUUUAAUUCUGCUAAAAUUUGCAGCGGUUAAAAAUUCUCACUCGCUAAAAAUUGUAUGUCUAUACAUUAUUUUAUUAUAUUCAAAGAGUAAUUAUACACAUACCUGAGGUUUCCAUGACAUAUGUCCGACAUACGUGUGUAGCGGCAAUUUUUAACCUCCGCAAAGUAAACACACCAAUUUUGUGGCAGUCUAUGUAGCGCUUUCGAACCGCAAAAAUCCGCAUCUAUCGUGAAAGCAAAGGAAUUAAUUUACUGCCAACCCUAUAUGUCUACUAACAUUCCUAAUAUUUUAUAUAUUAAUAUAUAUAUAUAAUAAUCACUCUUCACAUGAGUGCAGUAACCAAGUCAACGAAAAUGUGGAAACAGCCCAACCACUACAACAAAUACCCUCCAAAAACCUCUAAAGAUCCUUGCAAGCAUACAAGCAUGCUUUAUCAUCGCACCAACAACCCAUAUAACGUCGACACCACUAGGAGAGUCCCCAUUUGAAAUCGAAAGCAGCGACAAGUUCAACCGAAUGUGAUCCUAUCAAGCUGCAGAACACCUACAAAACAGAGAUCCAACCCAGCCCUGCAAACUAAAAGAGCCAACAACAGAAAACUAACAAACGCUAGAGCUGAGACACAAAUCCUAAAGAAAUAGGAAAAGAAAAAUAAUAAAAAUAGAAAAAACAAACGGACCAUACAAACAAAACGAAUACAUCAUUUCCAACACUGCCUCCAGACCACCUCCAAAUUCGUUGUAGAAGCCAGCAAGGAGAACAACCUAUCAGAACCUGCAGGAAGCAAAGCGUAGAGGCCGGAAAGCAUUCGUAGCCUCAACAACCUUCACAGAGACGGGAUCAUCCAUGAGAUCCAAGUAGUCAAGCCACACUCCACCAUCUACCGACAAACACGACAACUUCACCCCUAGAACACCACUUUCUUUGCCGAAGCAACAUAUGAGAAAACCCAAAACAAGCAACACCCGAAACCCACCAACAAAAACCCUCGCCGAAGACACCAAUCGCGUCGAGAAUAACUAAGAAGAUCUGAGACAAUUCACUCAACCACAUAUAUAAGAAGAUAUGAACAAAGAGGUUGAGUAGAGCACAAGCACACAAGCAACGAGCUUGAGCUGCGAGAGCGGAAGAUCGAGGACGACCCAAAGGUGCAAGAACACUGGAAGGCGAGGGCAGAAGGCACGACGAUGCCAACAACUACUUCAUCAGAGAAGAAGAUCAUGGAGUGAAGUUGAGGAGCCCUUGAAAGCCACACCCUUGAGAAAGCGUAUAGGAAAGGAGAUAAGGAGAAAGGUAAACAGGUUGCUGCUGCGCAAGGAGGCGGCGUGGAGGCCACCAGCCACAAACCCUAGGUCGGAGAAAUAGAGAGGAAAAAUAGAGAUUAUUUAAGACUGAUAUAACAUCUACUAAAUCGUGAAUAUUAUUUUACUUAGUCUUGACCAUUAAUUGUUUAUUAAUUUUUUCAACAAAAGAACUUUGUCAUUAACAAAAUACUACUAGAGAGCCAAAUUUUUCAGUAUCAGAUAAUUACAUGAACAAACUUCAUCUUAGACCAUUUACUUGUGUUGUACGAUCAUGAUAAAUUUAAUUUUCUCAUAAGACUUUCUGUAAUGUAAUUCCAUAUAUUCAUAUACCGAGUGUGUGUGGGGGCUAAGACUUUAAAGUGAGCUUUUUAAAGUAAGGCUAUGUCCAUGCAUGAUUGAUUUAAAUUAAAGUUUAUCAUGAUCUUCCCCACAAAUUACACAUCUAUAUAUAUAUGUAAAGCACACUUAAACUUUUGCAUUGAUUAGUUUACCUUUGCAUUAAAUACAUUAAAUAAUUAAAUACAAAACUAAAAAAAAAACAACAUCUACUUUAUUAUUUAUUAUAUUAAUAAAUAAUUGUUAAGCUUCUAUAUAUAUAUGUAAAGCACACUUGAACUUUUGCAUUGAUUAAGUUUACCUUUACAUUAAAUACAUUAAAUAAUUAAAUACAAAACUAAAAAAAACAACAUCUACUUUAUUAUUUAUUAUAUUAAUAAAUAAUUGUUAAGCUUCUAUAUAUAUAUGUAAAGCACACUUGAACUUUUGCAUUGAUUAAGUUUACCUUUACAUUAAAUACAUUAAAUAAUUAAAUACAAAACUAAAAAAAACAACAUCUACUUUAUUAUUUAUUAUAUUAAUAAAUAAUUGUUAAACUUUUCAAUUUCCCAUAUUUUAAAAUAAUUUUUAAUAUUAAUUAAAUUUUAAUUAUUAAUUAUAACUUAAGGACGAAAUUUUAAUAAUAUUAAUAAUUUAAAUUGACUUCCUUUAGAUUAAUAAAAAUUUGUAGUAAAAAUAACUUUGUCAUUUAUAACUAAUUGUAAAAAAUUUCAAAUUCUUAUAUGUUAAAAUUAAAAUUAUUAUUUUAAUUUUAAUUAUUAAUCAUAAGUUGAUGAAUUUUAAAAAUUAACCAAUAAAACUUAUUACUACUAUUUAUGUAUAAAUGACAAAUUAAAUACUAAAGUUUUUUUGUAAUGUAAAUACUAAAGUUAGAUAUCAUGUUAAUAAGUUAUAUAUAUAUUUAUAUGUAGACAACAUUAAUAAUUUAAAUUAAAUAAUGGGAAAGAUAAAAUUUAUUAAUGAACAAUCUAGAAAAAUAGUUUCAAAAUUAAAUAAAUGUCUCUAUAAGAGAUUUACUAUUAAACUAUAUUGCAUGUGUGUAUUAUUUGAAAAAUAAUUUCAAAUAUAUUUUUUGAUCUAUUAUACAGUAGUAAAAAAAAAUUCUCAAGUUUUCUUAUGUUAUUAAUAAUAUUUUCCUUUUCAAUUUUUUUUAUUAAGUUUCAGUAAUAUCCUUUAUUUACAUAAAGAGAACUCUAAUACAAGUAAUUAAAUGCAUCAAAGAAACUCUAAUACUAUCUAUUUAGAUGUCUAAACACAAUAAUUUUUUCUAUUAUAUUUAUAUUGAAGAAAUAUUUUAAUAUUCAUUUUCAGAUAAUUACUCUAUAGUAAAUUUCAUAUAAUAUUAAAAAACUAUUAUAAAUAAACCCGUGCAACGCACGGGUAUAAUAUCUAGUCUUAGAGUAAAUCAUUUUUGCUCACCUUAGAGAAAAUUAAAUUUUCUUUAAUUUCUUCUCUCUUUAUGUUAUUUAAUACUCUCAAAAAAAUAUGUGACAUAACUAUCACCGCAGAUGCUUAAAUUGUAUUCAUUGCCAGGAAAGGGAAUCUAUCGGUGCAGUAUUUCACCUUCAAUUCUCUUUUAGAAUCUUCAUUGUACUUAUUGUUGGAAUAGUGUCAUGUAGCUUAUGAAUAUACACUACUUUUCCAAUCUAGAUAAAUCGAUAACAUUGAACACCUAUUUUUAUGAUGACUUUAGACCGUCACAAAGUGAAAAAUUAAAUUUAUUUUCUUUUAUUUUACUUUAACCGAGUAAAAACCAUUACAAAAGUGACUAUUACGCAGUACACACAUCGUUUUCUUUUUCCAAAUCUUAUUAUUAAUGACAUGACUUUACUUGGGUAUGCUUGAACCUUCCCUACUUUCAAAAGGAAAGGAAACACCUAACUUGGGAGGCUCAUUUAUUGGUGCAAGCACCCAAUACCAUCUCAGCAAUAAAAACGGUGCUAAACACCAUUGAUCUCUUAACCCCCUCCCAACUACACCCAUAAUGACCCCUAAACCAAAUCUAAGAACUCGGAGCAUAACUCACUUCACAAAUGAUUGCACUCUUAAUCUCACUACUAGCUUGCUAGCUACUAGUACUACUAUAAAUAGUGCAAGUAUGGGACAAGAGUAACUCAACCAAGCCUGAAGACACAUUUCCCUUUUCAGCUUUCAGUGCCAAACCAACCUUGGUGUGGCCUAGUACUUGUUUUCUCAAUAUGAGAAAUCCUUCCACUCUCCAACGCGCUUUUGUUCUCUUCUGCCUUCCCUUGUUGCUUGUUGCCACCUUCGGUUAUGCUACUGAGGUUUCAGGUUUGUCACUCAUUUUCACAUUCACAGCUAAAUUCUGUUUGUUUCAUGUACAAAAUAAGUACACACAUGGUGGAUGUUUGAAAAUUAUUCUACAGUUGAUUUCGCAGCCAUAAUCAAUUCUGAUUGAGUAGCUUCUGUUUUUCAGAAUUGAUUAUGAGAAAAAAGAAUCUGAUACAAACAUGCUAGUAGACUUGUCUACCAGGAAAUGUAUUCUAGUUUUAUAUGGGGAGUUAGUUUCAAUUCCCACUUAGAUGUAUGUCAUUAUUACGUUAUAAUCUCUUAGAGUAUGUAAUCAGAUACAUGUUAGCUGUUUGAUCCCUUUGAUACUGCAUGUAUUCUAUAUAAAUACUGUGCCUAAGAGGCUUGUAAGAUUGAUUAAAUUUUCUUAAAAAAUUAAUUCUAGCACAUAAGGAGCAUAUUGUAAAUAACAUGUACUAAAUGUUAUUAGUUAAAACAUCGUUCAUGUAUGAACCAACUUUUAACAUGGUCUAGUGUAGAAUUGCCUUUCAAUUUAAUGAUUUAUUUUAACACCAAACAUGCAUGUAAGUAAAGUGUGGUCUUUUGCAUUUCUCAUGCAGGGAAUGAAGUGAAGACAGAUGGGAAGGUUGCACAAGAAGAGGUAGCAAAGACAAGCCAAGAAGGACCAAAUGAAGAAGCAAAAUUCAAGGGCUUUUUCCAUCAUAAACCAAUAAUAUUCAAGAAGCCUUUUCCAUUUGUGAAGCCUAUCCCAAAGCCAUUUCCCUUUGUUAAGCCCAUCCACAAGCCCUUUCCAUUUGUUAAGAAGCCUAUCCCAAAACCAAUCUUUGUGAAGAAACCUAUACCUUUUUACAAGCCUGUGCCAAAGGUAAUUCCUGUUCUGAAACCAAUUCCCAUUUAUAAGCCUGUGCCAAAGGUAAUUCCUGUUCCCAUUUAUAAGCCUGUGCCGAAGUUCAUUCCUGUUGUGAAACCAAUUCCCAUUUUGAAGCCUGUGCCAAAGGUAAUUCCUAUUGUGAAGCCAAUUCCUUUUUUUAAGCCUGUACCAAAGGUGAUUCCUAUUGUUAAGCCUAUCCCUAUUCACAAGCCAAGUCCAACUCCAUAAGGUGAGAAGGAAGAGCCUGCCUUGGUAUUCAAUAAAAUAACCAUGUUUUGAAACUUACCACUGUAUCUUUUCAACAUAAAUUGCCUUUGCAAAAUCCUACCUUACCCAUCUUAUAUAUGUAUUGUAUCAGAAUAUGUAGUUAACUAUUGCUUUUGUUUAAAUAAU